UACCCCAGGAGCUCCUCCCUGCUAUAUGGAUGUCAUUCCUGAAGAUCACCGAUUAGAGAGCCCAACCACUCCUCUGCUAGAUGACAUGGAUGGCUCUCAAGACAGCCCUAUCUUUAUGUAUGCCCCUGAGUUCAAGUUCAUGCCACCACCGACUUAUACUGAGGUGAGGAUUGUCAUCUUUACUGUUAAAUUUGUCCUAAGCUUUCUAUAAGAAGUUGACUUAGACGGAUUGCUAAACUGGUUUGUUCUUUUUGUUCUUACCUGAACUGAAAUAGUCUGUUUCUUUCUUUAGGUGGAUCCCUGCAUCCUCAACAACAAUGUGCAGUGAGCAUGUGGAAGAAAAGAAGCAGCUUUACCUACUUGUUUCUUUUUGUCUCUCUUCCUGGACACUCACUUUUUCAGAGACUCAACAGUCUCUGCAAUGGAGUGUGGGUCCACCUUAGCCUCUGACUUCCUAAUGUAGGAGGUGGUCAGCAGGCAAUCUCCUGGGCCUUAAAGGAUGCGGACUCAUCCUCAGCCAGCGCCCAUGUUGUGAUACAGGGGUGUUUGUUGGAUGGGUUUAAAAAUAACUAGAAAAACUCAGGCCCAUCCAUUUUCCCAGAUCUCCUUGAAAAUUGAGGCCUUUUCGAUAGUUUUGGGUCAGGUAAAAAUGGCCUCCUGGCAUAAGCUUUUCAAGGUUUUUUGGAGGCUUUUUGUAAAUUGUGAUAGAACUUUGGACCUUGAACUUAUGUAUCAUGUGGAGAAGAGCCAAUUUAACAAACUAGGAAGAUGAAAAGGGAAAUUGUGGCCAAAACUUUGGGAAAAGGAGGUUCUUAAAAUCAGUGUUUCCCCUUUGUGCACUUGUAGAAAAAAAAGAAAAACCUUCUAGAGCUGAUUUGAUGGACAAUGGAGAGAGCUUUCCCUGUGAUUAUAAAAAAGGAAACUAGCUGCUCUACGGUCAUCUUUGCUUAGAGUAUACUUUAACCUGGCUUUUAAAGCAGUAGUAACUGCCCCACCAAAGGUCUUAAAAGCCAUUUUUGGAGCCUAUUGCACUGUGUUCUCCUACUGCAAAUAUUUUCAUAUGGGAGGAUGGUUUUCUCUUCAUGUAAGUCCUUGGAAUUGAUUCUAAGGUGAUGUUCUUAGCACUUUAAUUCCUGUCAAAUUUUUUGUUCUCCCCUUCUGCCAUCUUAAAUGUAAGCUGAAACUGGUCUACUGUGUCUCUAGGGUUAAGCCAAAAGACAGAAAAAAUUUUACUACUUUUGAGAUUGCCCCAAUGUACAGAAUUAUAUAAUUCUAACGCUUAAAUCAUGUGAAAGGGUUGCUGCUGUCAGCCUUGCCCACUGUGACUUCAAACCCAAGGAGGAACUCUCGAUCAAGAUGCCCAACCCUGUGAUCAGAACCUCCAAAUACUGCCAUGAGAAACUAGAGGGCAGGUCUUCAUAAAAGCCCUUUGAACCCCCUUCCUGCCCUGUGUUAGGAGAUAGGGAUAUUGGCCCCUCACUGCAGCUGCCAGCACUUGGUCAGUCACUCUCAGCCAUAGCACUUUGUUCACUGUCCUGUGUCAGAGCACUGAGCUCCACCCUUUUCUGAGAGUUAUUACAGCCAGAAAGUGUGGGCUGAAGAUGGUUGGUUUCAUGUUUUUGUAUUAUGUAUCUUUUUGUAUGGUAAAGACUAUAUUUUGUACUUAACCAGAUAUAUUUUUACCCCAGAUGGGGAUAUUCUUUGUAAAAAAUGAAAAUAAAGUUUUU
rnacentral:lncRNA from 1 species